rnacentral:misc_RNA from 1 species
UGUGUUGCUUACCUAAUAAAAGGAAUUAGAUAGUUUGGUUAUUCGUAUUCACUCGAUGCCUUUUGUGGGUGUGGGGUGGACGUUAUGCAUGCUAUGUGUACCGAACAUGCCCUGUGAAGGUUGUUUUGGCCCAUGUGGUUGAUGCUUGUUCUCUCGGAUGUGGAAUGUUAUGCAUGGGCGUAGGUUUUUAAACCUUGCUUGCCCAAGCUAUGCAUUUGUCCCUUGACACAAACGACUGUCACGAUUGCCUUGGUCAUGUUAGCCUACGGGUUGCACAUUGUUCAUGCGAUUGUUGGCGUCGUCAAGGAGUGCUACCUGGUUGAUCCUGCCAGUANUCAU